GACGUUACCUACAGAAGAAGCACCGGCUAACUCCGUGCCAGCAGCCGCGGUAAUACGGAGGGUGCGAGCGUUAAUCGGAAUUACUGGGCGUAAAGCGCAUGCAGGUGGUUUGUUAAGUCAGAUGUGAAAGCCCCGGGGCUCAACCUCGGAAUUGCAUUUGAAACUGGCAGACUAGAGUACUGUAGAGGGGGGUAGAAUUUCAGGUGUAGCGGUGAAAUGCGUAGAGAUCUGAAGGAAUACCAGUGGCGAAGGCGGCCCCCUGGACAAAGACUGACGCUCAGAUGCGAAAGCGUAGGGAGCAAACAGGAUUAGAUACCCUGGUAG
rnacentral:rRNA from 1 species